GGUACCUUUACCUAAACCAUCAACAGUUAUUGAUUGUGUCUGGAACGUCAUAAAUAUCUGUAGGCUCAGACUGUUUGAGUUUCAUUCGAAUUGUAUUCCAGUCUCAACUUGGCCUUCGUUUUCGGUGUCGUAGUAAAGGAAGGGAGGAAAAACGUACGUUCUCGGAAUCGCUGCGAUUUUCAGUUCGCUUUACAGCAGCGCCCAGUGUAGCUGAGAAAUGGCUGGAAAAAUAGGCACUAUAAUCGCUAUAGUUCUCAGCAUGGUACUGGAUAUAAGCUUUAUAUUUCUCCUAAUCUCAGAGUAUGUAAACGAAGAUAAUAUGGAGAAUACAUACAGAAAAACAUCACAGAGUAUAAUUCUUAUUUGUAUAAUCGCCCCAAUUGAAGCAAUUUAUGGAGUUUUAAGGGAGAAACCAACAUGGAUCAAAUUACAUUUGAUUUUUCGAUGCUGUUUUUUGGGAAUAUGCAUAUUCAUUUUGGUAACAUUAGCAGUUACUGGUUCUACGGAAUCAAUAAUCAAAUUCGGAAUUGCAGCUGGUAACAUGUACAUAUUUUUUGACAUUGAGCUGAGAUUUUACAAGAAAAUAAAAUUUGAAAAGAAACCGAAGGAAGAAGCCGAGGAAGUAGUGUUAGCUGACCAAAGUGGACCAAAAUUUCAAAAUUCCGUAAACAGUACAUAUGUAUAUACAACUCAAAAAAAAAAAAAAGCUUGAGGGUGUAGAGAAAAAACCUAA